rnacentral:rRNA from 1 species
UACAGAGGUGGCAAGCGUUGUUCGGAAUUACUGGGCGUAAAGGGCUCGUAGGCGGCCAACUAAGUCGGAUGUGAAAUCCCCAGGCUUAACCUGGGAACUGCAUCCGAUACUGGAUGGCUUGAAUCCGGGAGAGGGAUGCAGAAUUCCAGGUGUAGCGGUGAAAUGCGUAGAUAUCUGGAGGAAUACCGGUGGCGAAGGCGGCAUCCUGGACCGGCAUUGACGCUGAUGAGCGAAAGCUAGGGGAGCAAACGGG